rnacentral:tRNA from 1 species
GACACUUUGGCCGAGUGGUUAAGGCGACAGACUCGAAUUUACUUUGCUUUGUCGUUUUUCACAAUUUGACAAGGGAUUUUCAAUGAUUUGAUAUCUGUUUCAUUCGUGAGCGCAGGUUCAAAUCCUGCAGGUGUCG